GGGAGAGCUGAUCUGUACAGGGGGCAGCCAGUGAGCAGGAAAUGCCCCAGCACCGACAGGAAGGAGGGCCGCCUUCUGACACAGGGCGGGCUGGAGACAUCCCAGGUGACAGUGAUGAUGACGGGGUAGCUACCACUUACUGAAGGCCUCCCGCAUGCCAUGCACUGAACUGUGGCUCACCCACAUGCUCUCAUUUAACCUCAGCCAGCAGCCUGUGUCACCACUGCCCCCGUUUCACAGACGAGGAAACCAAGGCCAACUGCGGUCAAUUCACGCAGCCAAGAUUACACAACCAGGAAGUAGCCAGGCUGAGCCUCGAACCCAGAUCUGUUCGAUUCCAAAGAUCAUGACCUUCGCCGCCAUGCUCUGCUGGUUCAGCAGGUGCUCAUUAUGACGUCAAUUAUACUUUAUUUAUGAAUUCAUUUAGUUUUUAGUUUUUAUGUUCCUUGAAAACAUGUGAAUGUGGUUCACAUAGAAACCUCCACGGCAAUGUUCAUAAGCUCCAGGGUGGAUUUGUGUCAUGUCAACCCCUACCCUCACAGCAGCCCUGCCAUCAGCAGGACCAGGCCAGAGGGCCACAAGGGAAGGCAGCUCCAACUCCCACCUACUUCCCUCUGGGCCUGAAAUGAAGCCCUGACCUCUGCACAGUCACUGUGGCCCUUUUGUGCCAUUGCUCUGAUUGUCAGAGCCAUUCUCUGCACCCAGCACACCGGCAGAAGCGUCAGGUUCCAACACGAUCCCACUUCCUUGUUUGACUUCCAGCCCGGGGCUGCUGUGGCCCGCUCCCACGGGAGCCUCACCGUGACCUCGCAGUGGUUUCAUAAGUUUUAAUGAGUAAAUUCCAGACUUAGCCCCAUGCACACAUAAGACACCCACGGCACACACCCACGGAAACAGCGUGACUUGGGUGGCUGUGGGUUUGCUCCGAGAGGAGACCCAGGUAGGCCCAGGCAGUGUGGCGGGGCCCUGGGAUGGCAAACGCCAGGACACCAGGGGAGACCAGCGCUUGGCAAAAUGCAUGGCAUAACUUGGGCAAGACAGCAUUGCAACAAAUGAUUGUGUGGAAGAAAAGACAGCGCCCUUAACCCCAUGAAACAGAGUUAACUGGGAGGUUUGGAAAGUAUCUUUAGGAGCCACUCAGCCGAGCUGUCCCUGGUCUGCAAUCCACAGAGAGAAACAAGGGGCUACGGCUGCAAAGAUGCUGAUGAACGAGGGGAGAGGCGAGGAUGCCACUGCGGGACCGCGGCACCCAGGCCUGGGAAACACAGGUGCCAUUGGAUUCCCUGGGAAGCCAGAGGGUGACAGCUUGUUGCCAGCCGAACGAAGAGAAAAACAGACAAAGAUCAAGGAAGAGGAGGGGGCUCCCAUGGAGGGGCUGGGAGGCCACCCUACUGACUCCCAACCCUACUGAUGAAACUGAGACCCACAAAGGGGAAAGGGCGGCCCAAGUCCCCAGCCACACCCUGCCGAGCUGGGGCAAGCAGGACGCUGUACCUGUAGCUCUCUGCAGCCACCCUGUCACAGAUGACACGUGUAAUCCUUUCACAUGUCAAACUUCGCCAGGUUUUUCCCUCCACAAAUCAUCCCCAUGGAGAGAGAUUCUCUCCCAGCACCAUGGGAGACGGUGAGGACCCCAAGCAUAAAUGAGCGCAUCCCAGAACACCCAGCGUGCAGGGGAACAGGGGGCGACAGAGAACGCCCGGUGGGCAGAGAUCCUCACCAGCUCCUGACAUAGCCUUCGGGGGCUCCUAGGCUUUCCCAAAGAGCUUGGUCUUGGUGCUGUUUGGUCUCAGCCACACAGCAUCACGUCUGUGAGUGAUGAUGAGUCACGCACAGGCUCAGCCCUGGUGGGGCAAGAGAAGAGGAGGCGAGAGGUGACGGCUGUACGAUGUGGUCCCUACCCUCCAUCCCCUGAAAGAGAAGAGGAACCAGAGUCUGGGCUGCUGCAAUGAGCCCAGCUGGUCAGUGAGUACCUGGGGAAAGACAACAGGGGCAGCGCCCUGCAGAGGCCGGGGCACGGCAAGCGGCCAAGACAGGGCCUGUUGGAUUUUUGAAGCCAACCAGAUAGAAGAAGGAAGGAAGAGCGUGGUGUCAAGGUUCACUCCCAGCUUAAUGCGUUCAGCUUGGCAGACGGAAAUGAUCCAAACCGAGAGGGAGUCUGUAGAAGGCUGUGGGGAUGCAGGAGGCUGAGCCUCGCUCUGGGUUGAUGUCCAGACCCAUGCAGGACAUCCAGGCAUGGAUGGGUCUGGUGGUGUUUGUGCGUAGGACCUGGUGCCCAGGAGAGAGGCCAGCCAGGCCUGUGGAGUUGGCUGUUACAGACAGAGGGGCGUAGAGUCGUGGCUGGGAGCCCAUCUACUGAGAGCAAGUUGGGGUGAGCAGUGAGGCGACCCAGGGACCCUGACACCUACUGAGGAGGAGGCAAGAAGAGACAAGGAGUCGAAGCUCACGUGGGGUGUUGAUGCCACAGCGCAGGCCAGGCCAGCAAACUCCAGGCCUCAAGGGCCUGAGAACAGCCCCGCUUUGAGAAGCCCUGCACUGUGAAUGAGAAACUGGCGGGCGGCUCCACACCAAUGCGAUUGAGGAGCAGAAACACGCGCAAACA
rnacentral:lncRNA from 1 species